ACGGGAGGCAGCAGUGGGGAAUAUUGCACAAUGGGCGAAAGCCUGAUGCAGCGACGCCGCGUGAACGAAGAAGUAUUUCGGUAUGUAAAGUUCUAUCAGCAGGGAAGAUAAUGACGGUACCUGACUAAGAAGCACCGGCUAAAUACGUGCCAGCAGCCGCGGUAAUACGUAUGGUGCAAGCGUUAUCCGGAUUUACUGGGUGUAAAGGGAGCGUAGGCGGUUCAUUAAGUCUGAUGUGAAAACCCAGGGCUCAACUUUGGGAUUGCAUUGGAAACUGGUGAACUUGAGUGUCGGAGGGGUAAGUGGAAUUCCUAGUGUAGCGGUGAAAUGCGUAGAUAUUAGGAGGAACACCAGUGGCGAAGGCGGCUUACUGGACGAUAACUGACGCUGAGGCUCGAAAGCGUGGGGAGCAAACAGGAUUAGAUACCCUGGUA
rnacentral:rRNA from 2 species